rnacentral:rRNA from 1 species
GGGUUGUGAGGUUAAGCGACUAAGCGUACACGGUGGAUGCCUAGGCAGUCAGAGGCGAUGAAGGGCGUGCUAAUCUGCGAAAAGCGUCGGUAAGGUGAUAUGAACCGUAACAGCCGACGAUACCCGAAUGGGGAAACCCGGUGCACUUGUGCAUCAUCGUUUGAUGAAUCCAUAGUCAAACGAGGCGAACCGGGGGAACUGAAACAUCUCAGUACCCCGAGGAAAAGAAAUCAACCGAGAUUCCCCCAGUAGCGGCGAGCGAACGGGGAAAAGCCCAGAACCUGAAUCAGUUUGUGUGUCAGUGGAAGCGUCUGGAAAGUCGCACGACAGAGGGUGAUAGUCCCGUACACAAAAAUGCACAGAUUGUGAGUUCGAUGAGUAGGGCGGGACACGUGAUAUCCUGUCUGAAGAUGGGGGGACCAUCCUCCAAGGCUAAAUACUCCUGACUGACCGAUAGUGAACCAGUACCGUGAGGGAAAGGCGAAAAGAACCCCGGCGAGGGGAGUGAAAUAGAACCUGAAACCGUGUACGUACAAGCAGUGGGAGCCUUGAUUAAUCAGGGUGACUGCGUACCUUUUGUAUAAUGGGUCAGCGACUUAUAUUCUGUAGCAAGGUUAACCGAAUAGGGGAGCCGCAGGGAAACCGAGUCUUAACUGGGCGUUAAGUUGCAGGGUAUAGACCCGAAACCCGGUGAUCUAGCCAUGGGCAGGUUGAAGGUUGGGUAACACUAACUGGAGGACCGAACCGACUAAUGUUGAAAAAUUAGCGGAUGACCUGUGGCUGGGGGUGAAAGGCCAAUCAAACCGGGAGAUAGCUGGUUCUCCCCGAAAGCUAUUUAGGUAGCGCCUCGUGAACUCAUCUACGGGGGUAGAGCACUGUUUCGACUAGGGGGUCAUCCCGACUUACCAACUCGAUGCAAACUGCGAAUACCGUAGAAUGUUAUCACGGGAGACACACGGCGGGUGCUAACGUCCGUCGUGAAGAGGGAAACAACCCAGACCGCCAGCUAAGGUCCCAAAGUCAUGGUUAAGUGGGAAACGAUGUGGGAAGGCCCAGACAGCCAGGAUGUUGGCUUAGAAGCAGCCAUCAUUUAAAGAAAGCGUAAUAGCUCACUGGUCGAGUCGGCCUGCGCGGAAGAUGUAACGGGGCUAAACCAUGCACCGAAGCUGCGGCAGCGAACGUAUCACCCAAGACAAUUUGGCGAUGUUGAAUAACGAUUGAUGGAGCGAAGCGACAUCAAUGCGUUUUACAAAGUCGAGUUGGCUUAGGGAUACGUUCGUUGGGUAGGGGAGCGUUCUGUAAGCCUGCGAAGGUGGCCCGUGAGGGUUGCUGGAGGUAUCAGAAGUGCGAAUGCUGACAUAAGUAACGAUAAUGCGGGUGAAAAACCCGCACGCCGGAAGACCAAGGGUUCCUGUCCAACGUUAAUCGGGGCAGGGUGAGUCGACCCCUAAGGCGAGGCUGAAAAGCGUAGUCGAUGGGAAACAGGUUAAUAUUCCUGUACUGGGUGUUGCUGCGAAGGGGGGACGGAGAAAGCUAGGUUGGCCGGGCGACGGUUGUCCCGGUUUAAGCGUGCAGGUGGGUGUUUUUGGUAAAUCCGGAACACUGUUAACACUGAGGCGUGACGACGAGUCACUACGGUGACGAAGUAACCGAUGCUACGCUUCCAGGAAAAGCCUCUAAGCUCCAGGCAACACGCAAUCGUACCCCAAACCGACACAGGUGGUCAGGUAGAGAAUACUCAGGCGCUUGAGAGAACUCGGGUGAAGGAACUAGGCAAAAUGGUGCCGUAACUUCGGGAGAAGGCACGCUGGAUUUGGUGAAGUCCCUCGCGGAUGGAGCUGAGACCAGUCGCAGAUACCAGCUGGCUGCAACUGUUUAAUAAAAACACAGCACUGUGCAAACACGAAAGUGGACGUAUACGGUGUGACGCCUGCCCGGUGCCGGAAGGUUAAUUGAUGGGGUCAGCCUUUGGGCGAAGCUCUUGAUCGAAGCCCCGGUAAACGGCGGCCGUAACUAUAACGGUCCUAAGGUAGCGAAAUUCCUUGUCGGGUAAGUUCCGACCUGCACGAAUGGCGUAAUGAUGGCCAGGCUGUCUCCACCCGAGACUCAGUGAAAUUGAACUCGCUGUGAAGAUGCAGUGUACCCGCGGCAAGACGGAAAGACCCCGUGAACCUUUACUAUAGCUUGACACUGAACCUUGAGCCUUGAUGUGUAGGAUAGGUGGGAGGCUUUGAAGCGUGGACGCCAGUCUGCGUGGAGCCGACCUUGAAAUACCACCCUUUAAUGUUCGAUGUUCUAACGUGGGCCCCUGAGCGGGGUUGCGGACAGUGUCUGGUGGGUAGUUUGACUGGGGCGGUCUCCUCCCAAAGAGUAACGGAGGAGCACGAAGGUUAGCUAAUCCUGGUCGGACAUCAGGAGGUUAGUGCAAAGGCAUAAGCUAGCUUGACUGCGAGAGUGACGGCUCGAGCAGGUGCGAAAGCAGGUCUUAGUGAUCCGGUGGUUCUGAAUGGAAGGGCCAUCGCUCAACGGAUAAAAGGUACUCCGGGGAUAACAGGCUGAUACCGCCCAAGAGUUCAUAUCGACGGCGGUGUUUGGCACCUCGAUGUCGGCUCAUCACAUCCUGGGGCUGAAGUAGGUCCCAAGGGUAUGGCUGUUCGCCAUUUAAAGUGGUACGCGAGCUGGGUUUAGAACGUCGUGAGACAGUUCGGUCCCUAUCUGCCGUGGGCGUUGGAAGAUUGAGAGGGGUUGCUCCUAGUACGAGAGGACCGGAGUGAACGCACCACUGGUGUACGGGUUGUGAUGCCAAUUGCAUUGCCCGGUAGCUACGUGCGGAAGAGAUAACCGCUGAAAGCAUCUAAGCGGGAAACUUGCCUCGAGAUGAGUCUUCCCUGGGACUUUAAGUCCCCUGAAGGGCCGUUGAAGACGACGACGUAGAUAGGCUGGGUGUGUAAGCGUUGCGAGACGUUGAGCUAACCAGUACUAAUGACCCGAGAGGCUUAACCUUACAACACCGAAGGUGUUUUAG